CAUGACCAUGAUAAGAUCAACAUUAUGCAGGAAGUCAACUUGAUGUGUUACAAGUAAAAUAGUCUUGCCCUUCAGUGCCCCUCGCACGCAUUCCUUGAAUAUAUCAGAUCCAGUAUGUGCAUCAACAGCGCUAAAAACAUCAUCAAGAAGGUAGAUAUCACAAUCCUGAUAAACGGCCCUGGCAAGUUGUAUCCGCUGCUUCUGUCCACCACUGAGGUUAAUGCCACGCUCUCCAAUCUCAGUUUGAUCUCCGUAAUCCAUCAUUUCCAAGUCUUUCUCCAA
rnacentral:misc_RNA from 1 species